UACGAAGGGGGCUAGCGUUGCUCGGAAUCACUGGGCGUAAAGGGCGCGUAGGCGGACUUUUAAGUCAGGGGUGAAAUCCUGGAGCUCAACUCCAGAACUGCCUUUGAUACUGAGGAUCUUGAGUAUGGGAGAGGUGAGUGGAACUGCGAGUGUAGAGGUGAAAUUCGUAGAUAUUCGCAAGAACACCAGUGGCGAAGGCGGUUCACUGGCCCAUUACUGACGCUGAGGCACGAAAGCGUGGGGAGCAAACAGGG
rnacentral:rRNA from 1 species